rnacentral:rRNA from 1 species
GAUGAACGCUGGCGGCGUGCCUAAUACAUGCAAGUCCAGCGAACAGACGAGGAGCUUGCUCCUCUGACGUUAGCGGCGGACGGGUGAGUAACACGUGGAUAACCUACCUAUAAGACUGGGAUAACUUCGGGAAACCGGAGCUAAUACCGGAUAAUAUAUUGAACCGCAUGGUUCAAUAGUGAAAGACGGUUUUGCUGUCACUUAUAGAUGGAUCCGCGCCGCAUUAGCUAGUUGGUAAGGUAACGGCUUACCAAGGCAACGAUGCGUAGCCGACCUGAGAGGGUGAUCGGCCACACUGGAACUGAGACACGGUCCAGACUCCUACGGGAGGCAGCAGUAGGGAAUCUUCCGCAAUGGGCGAAAGCUUGACGGAGCAACGCCGCGUGAGUGAUGAAGGUCUUCGGAUCGUAAAACUCUGUUAUUAGGGAAGAACAUAUGUGUAAGUAACUGUGCACAUCUUGACGGUACCUAAUCAGAAAGCCACGGCUAACUACGUG